AUGGGCCCCAAGAGGGAGCUCAAGUUUGCAUUGGAGUCUUUCUGGGAUGGGAAGAGCAGCGCUGAGGAUUUGGAGAAGGUUGCCACCUACCUCAGGGCCAGCGUCUGGAAGAAGAUGUCAGAGGCUGGGAUUAAGUACAUUCCCAGCAACACCUUCUCAUACUAUGACCAGGUGCUUGACACAACAGCCAUGCUUGGUGCUGUCCCGGACCGCUACUCUUGGACUGGCGGCGAGAUUGGUCACAGCACCUACUUCUCAAUGGCCAGGGGCAAUGCCACCGUCCCUGCUAUGGCGACGGCGAAGUGGUUUGACACCAACUAUCACUUUAUUGUACCUGAAUUGAGCCCAGAAAUAAAGUUCUCAUAUGCUUCACACAAGGCUGUCUCUGAAUACAAGGAGGCAAAGGCGCUUGGUGUUGACACUGUUCCAGUGCUUGUUGGACCAUUCUCAUACUUGCUGCUCUCUAAGGCAGCGGAGGGUGUGGAGGAAUCAUUCUCUCUCCUAUCACUUCUUGAUAGCAUUCUUCCAAUCUACAAGGAGGUUGUCGCUGAGCUGAAGGCAGCUGGUGCUUCAUGGAUUCAGUUUGAUGAGCCCACCCUUGUUUAUGACCUUGAUGCUUACGAUUUGGCCGCGUUCUCCUCAGCAUAUGCUAGCCUUGAGUCAGCACUCUCUGGAUUGAUGUACUUAUUGAGACAUACUUCGCCGAUGUUCCUGCUGAAUCUUACAAGUACGACUCUCACAUCAUUGAGUGGUGUGACUGCCUAUGGUUUUGAUCUUGUUGAUGGAACCAAGACACUUGAUCUUAUCAAGAGCGUGGGUAUCCCAUCUGGAAAGUACUUGUUUGCUGGUGUUGUAGAUGGACGGAACAUUUGUGCUAAUGAUCUUGCUGCAUCUCUCAGCACUCUUCAGUUUCUUGAGGCUGUUGUUGGCAAGGACAAGCUUGUGGUGUCCACCUCCUGCUUGCUGAUGUACGCCCCUGUUGAUCUCGAGAUCGUGACUAACCUUGACAGUGAGAUUAAAUCGUGGCUAGCAUUUGCUGCCCAAAAGGUGGUUGAGGUGAAUGCACUUGCCAAGGCUUUGGCUGGUCUAAAGGAUGAAGCCUACUUUGCGGCCAAUGCUGCUGCUCAGGCUUCCUUUGGGCCAAUGUUGAGGUCAUCACCCAGAGUGAAAAAUGAGGAGGUUCAGAAGGCUGCUUCUGCUUUGAAGGCCGACCACAGCCGUGCUACCCCUCGAUCUAUUAGACCGUUACAUAUAGAGUUCAAAAAAACUCGCCGCUCGUACCAAAAAUUGAUGACGAUUGCAGCAGAAAUGACCUCGCCAAUUUCUCAGUUCUCACAAGCAAUGAAGGAAAAGAUGGUGGUAGCAAAAAAAACUUUGCCAAUUGUAGCAAAAAUUGAUGAAGAUAGCAGCAAAACAGACCCACAAUUUCUCAUGCACGAUGAAGAACAAGAUGGAAGAGAUAAGUUGAGGAUAGAGCGGUGCGUGCUUGAGGUAGACGGCUCCUCGUGCGUGCGAUGGAUCGAACGCCUCGCACGUGACCGGCUUAAAGUUCCGCCGGUCUGCCGGCCACAAGCGUUUUCCUUAUUAUUUUGGUGGUAUCCAGCCACCGAGACAGAGGAUUCACUUAUCACGCACUUUGCUCUGCCAAGAGCGAGAAGGCCAACCAACUCGCUGGCCGUGGUGCUUGCCCUUGCCGAGGCCACCCUCGCUCCAGCGCUGCCGUCCGCGCCGCUCCGCUGGAGACGCCAUCCAGGGCGCUCAGCACACCUCUGGACGUGGCCUUUACGCCGACGCUCGCGCUCCCCCGCGGCGGCUCAAAGCUGCCUGCGGCGGAGGCGUCGGUGCGUGGCGCGGCUUCACUUGCCCGCCCAUAGCGCCAGGCUUCAUGCGCGCGUGACGCGGCCCUGGCCAGUAUGCCAAAGCGGCGGCGAUGGUAAUGGUGUUUUCUCCCCGUUGGAACCGCACGUGAGAAACACAGAGAUAACCUUAUCUCUUUGCUAG
rnacentral:rRNA from 1 species